UACAGAGGUCUCAAGCGUUGUUCGGAAUUACUGGGCGUAAAGGGCGCGUAGGCGGUUCGCUAAGUCGGAUGUGAAAACUCUGGGCUCAACCCAGAGCCUGCAUCCGAAACUGGCGGGCUAGAGUUCUGGAGGGGGUAGCGGAAUUCCUGGUGUAGCGGUGAAAUGCGUAGAUAUCAGGAGGAACACCGGUGGCGAAGGCGGCUACCUGGACAGAAACUGACGCUGAGGCGCGAAAGCUAGGGGAGCAAACAGG
rnacentral:rRNA from 1 species